rnacentral:rRNA from 1 species
UGGGGAAUUUUGGACAAUGGGCGAAAGCCUGAUCCAGCAAUGCCGCGUGUGUGAAGAAGGCCUUCGGGUUGUAAAGCACUUUUGUCCGGAAAGAAAUGGCUCUGGUUAAUACCUGGGGUCGAUGACGGUACCGUAAGAAUAAGGACCGGCUAACUACGUGCCAGCAGCCGCGGUAAUACGUAGGGUCCAAGCGUUAAUCGGAAUUACUGGGCGUAAAGCGUGCGCAGGCGGUUGUGCAAGACCGAUGUGAAAUCCCCGAGCUUAACUUGGGAAUUGCAUUGGUGACUGCACGGCUAGAGUGUGUCAGAGGGGGGUAGAAUUCCACGUGUAGCAGUGAAAUGCGUAGAGAUGUGGAGGAAUACCGAUGGCGAAGGCAGCCCCCUGGGAUAACACUGACGCUCAUGCACGAAAGCGUGAGGAGCAAACAGG